CAGCAGCCACGGGAAUACGAAGGGUGCAAGCGUUACUCGGAAUUACUGGGCGUAAAGCGUGCGUAGGUGGUGGUUUAAGUCCGUUGUGAAAGCCCUGGGCUCAACCUGGGAAUUGCAGUGGAUACUGGGUCACUAGAGUGUGGUAGAGGAUAGUGGAAUUUCCGGUGUAGCAGUGAAAUGCGUAGAGAUCGGAAGGAACAUCUGUGGCGAAGGCGACUAUCUGGGCCAACACUGACACUGAGGCACGAAAGCGUGGGGAGCAAACAGGAUUAGAUACCCCGGUAGUCCCUGUCUCUUAUAA
rnacentral:rRNA from 1 species